rnacentral:lncRNA from 10 species
UCUGUCACCCAGGCUGGAGUGCAGUGGUGUGACCACAGCCACUGCAGGCUCAACCUCUGGGACUCAGGUGAUCCUCCCAUCUCAGCCUCCCAAGUAGCUGGGACUACAGGUUGCUUCUUCCAGAUCCCUUUUGAUCUACUUUCAGCUAUGGAUUCAUGAGAAUCAAGACUAAGCAGCCUGAAUUGAAGGAGUAACAGUAUCACCUAACAAUGAUUUUGCUGCCAUAGUAGCUGUUUGUAUACUGGCCAUAUGCCUAGGUAAAAUGAGGCCAGAUCACUCUCAAGAGUUUUCUAUCAGAGUUGGUGGUGAACUACUGCUCACGGAUAAUGCUGUACUGGUCUGGAGCUGCACAUUCUUUUCAGACAACUCUUGUUCCAGCUAGAGUGCAAUGGUGCAACCUCAGCUCACUGCAACCUCCGCUUCCCAGGUUCAAGCGAUUCUCCUGCUUCAGCCUCCCUGGUUGCUGGGAUUACAGGUGACUCUUCUCCUGUAACAGAGCCUCCUUCUUAGAAACUAUGGCCUCCCGUUUCUUUAAGUCUGCUUCC